UACGGGGGGAGCAAGCGUUGUUCGGAUUUACUGGGCGUAAAGGGCGCGUAGGCGGCCACCGCAAGUCAAUUGUGAAAUCUCCGGGCUUAACUCGGAAAGGUCAACUGAUACUGCGGGGCUAGAGUGCGGAAGGGGCAACUGGAAUUCUCGGUGUAGCGGUGAAAUGCGUAGAUAUCGGGAGGAACACCAGUGGCGAAGGCGACUGACCUGGCCUGUUCUUGACGCUGAGGCGCGAAAGCUAGGGUAGCAAACGGGG
rnacentral:rRNA from 1 species